AAGUUUAGGUCAUUUUGGGGGUUUAGCUCAGUUGGCUAGAGCAUCGGCUUUGCAAGCCGAGGGUCAAGGGUUCGAGUCCCUUAACCUCCAUUGGGCUUAUGUCCUAAAUCGUAAUUAAGUAUGUUUUUAAGUAACUUUGUUAAAGUAAUUGUUGGAACGUGAAACAGAGGAAGUUAAAAUUUCUGGGUUAAGUUGAGAUCUGUUGAUAUUAAGAAGAAUCUCUAGAAGCAAAAGCAAGCUUUCGAUAAAACCCGAAGUUGUUUCGCUAAAGUGCAAGGAUUAAACAGGAUUGUAUUUUCCAGUAGCCUAUUUUAUAAAUGAUCUGCAUUUAGUAAAUAGUUUUUAGUUAAGAAAUAAUGUAGAUUGCUAAGUGUGAUGCCUGAAAGAAGGACAAGUAUUGUAGCGAGCCUAAAUCCUUGUUGUCGUUGCCAGUAUUUAGUGGUAGGGAUUCGGAUAAGACUGCCAUUUAUAAGUUGGAGGAAGGCAAAGAUUGCAUUAAAUCGUUAU
rnacentral:tRNA from 1 species